rnacentral:rRNA from 1 species
GCAACUCGACUGCAUGAAGCUGGAAUCGCUAGUAAUCGCGAAUCAGAAUGUCGCGGUGAAUAACGUUCCCGGGUCUUGUACACACCGCCCGUCACACCAUGGGAGUUGGAAGCGCCCGAAGUCUGUGACCUAACCGUAAGGGAGGAGCAGCCGAAGGUGAAGCCAGUGACUGGGGUGAAGUCGUAACAAGGUACC